GACGAACGCUGGCGGCGUGCCUAAUACAUGCAAGUCGAACGCACUCUCGUUUAGAUUGAAGGAGCUUGCUCCUGAUUGAUAAACAUUUGAGUGAGUGGCGGACGGGUGAGUAACACGUGGGUAACCUGCCCUAAAGUGGGGGAUAACAUUUGGAAACAGAUGCUAAUACCGCAUAAAACCUAAACACCGCAUGGUGUAGGGUUGAAAGAUGGUUUCGGCUAUCACUUUAGGAUGGACCCGCGGUGCAUUAGUUAGUUGGUGAGGUAAAGGCUCACCAAGACCGUGAUGCAUAGCCGACCUGAGAGGGUAGUCGGCCACACUGGGACUGAGACACGGCCCAGACUCCUACGGGAGGCAGCAGUAGGGAAUCUUCCACAAUGGACGAAAGUACUGAUGGAGCAACGCCGCGUGAGUGAAGAAGGUUUCGGAUCGUAAAACUCUGUUGUUGGAGAGAAUGUAUCUGAUAGUAACUGAUCAGGUAGUGACGGUAUCCAACCAGAAAGCCACGG
rnacentral:rRNA from 1 species